AUUUGGUAUUGGGGGCACUUGAUGCACAACUUCUUGAAUCGCUCCCAGUAAUCAUAAAGCGACUCUCUUGGGUGCUGCUUGAUACCACAGAUCUUCUUUUUUAGACU